CUGGAGGUAUCAGAAGUGCGAAUGCUGACAUAAGUAACGAUAAAGCGGGUGAAAAGCCCGCUCGCCGGAAGACCAAGGGUUCCUGUCCAACGUUAAUCGGGGCAGGGUGAGUCGACCCCUAAGGCGAGGCCGAAAGGCGUAGUCGAUGGGAAACGGGUUAAUAUUCCCGUACUUGGUGUUACUGCGAAGGGGGGACGGAGAAGGCUAUGUUGGCCGGGCGACGGUUGUCCCGGUUUAAGCGUGUAGGUGUGUGUUCCAGGUAAAUCCGGUUCACUUUAACACUGAGGCGUGACGACGAGGCACUACGGUGCUGAAGCAACAAAUGCCCUGCUUCCAGGAAAAGCCUCUAAGCAUCAGGUAACAUCAAAUCGUACCCCAAACCGACACAGGUGGUCAGGUAGAGAAUACCAAGGCGCUUGAGAGAACUCGGGUGAAGGAACUAGGCAAAAUGGUGCCGUAACUUCGGGAGAAGGCACGCUGACACGUAGG
rnacentral:rRNA from 1 species